rnacentral:rRNA from 1 species
AGCGCAGGCGGGACGGCAAGUUGGAUGUGAAAAACUGAGGCUCAACCUCAGUCCUGCAUCCAAAACUGUUGUUCUUGAGUGGAGCAGAGGUAAGCGGAAUUCCGAGUGUAGCGGUGAAAUGCGUAGAUAUUCGGAGGAACACCAGUGGCGAAGGCGGCUUACUGGACUCUAACUGACGCUGAGGCUCGAAAGCGUGGGGAGCAAACA